rnacentral:lncRNA from 1 species
UAUCUAACUUCCAGCCUCUGCCAUUAAUCACCUCCUUUUAUUGCUUUUGUCUCCCAAGCAUUUCUCUUUCCUCUGGCGAAAAAUAUCUGCUUUGUUUAAAAUAAAUGUUCCAUCCAUGCAGCUAAGCAGCUAAGGACACGAACAGCCACUGAUACAGGCCAACUCAUCAGUAGAUUAUUGAGAUUUCAUACUAGGACCUUUCAGUGGCUGAACAAAGACAAAGACAGAAAUCAAGGAAGGUCAAAGAAGCAGUCAAUUUUCUGGCACCCAAAGUUGUUGGAGAAGGGUACAGAGUCGGUAAAUAAGCCAUAUGACAGACAGGCAGUAUUUUCUUAUUUUAAUAACAAGUUUAAAAAUCCCACUUCUUGUACUUACCUUCUGUCUGAUGUCAUCAGUAUUUUAAGAUGCCAACUGGGAACAAGUUCAACACUGCAUUACUGAAGAAUCCAGAUUAUCUACAUCUCACGUGCCAAAUGAAAGAAAGAACCCAGAAAAUAAAACAAUAUGAUGAUAA